rnacentral:rRNA from 1 species
ACGAACGCUGGCGGCGUGCCUCAUACAUGCAAGUUGAGCGCUGAAGGUUGGUACUUGUACCCACUGGAUGAGCAGCGAACGGGUGAGUAACGCGUGGGGAAUCUGCCUUUGAGCGGGGGACAACAUUUGGAAACGAAUGCUAAUACCGCAUAAAAACUUUAAACACAAGUUUUCAGUUUGAAAGAUGCAAUUGCAUCACUCAAAGAUGAUCCCGCGUUGUAUUAGCUAGUUGGUGAGGUAAAGGCUCACCAAGGCGAUGAUACAUAGCCGACCUGAGAGGGUGAUCGGCCACAUUGGGACUGAGACACGGCCCAAACUCCUACGGGAGGCAGCAGUAGGGAAUCUUCGGCAAUGGACGAAAGUCUGACCGAGCAACGCCGCGUGAGUGAAGAAGGUUUUCGGAUCGUAAAACUCUGUUGGUAGAGAAGAACGUUGGUGAGAGUGGAAAGCUCAUCAAGUGACGGUAACUACCCAGAAAGGGACGGCUAACUACGUG